rnacentral:rRNA from 1 species
AUCUACCCCGCAGUGCGGAAUACCGGCGAGAAAUCGCCGACAAGACCGCAUGGGCUGCCUUUUCUGAAAGGAAGGCAGCAAAGGUUUUCGCAAGAGAACCGCUCUGGGAUGAGCCUGCGGCUGAUUAGCUAGCUGGGGGGGUAAAGGCCUCCCAGGGCACCGAUCAGUAGCUGGUCUGAGAGGACGAGCAGCCACACUGGGAUUGAGAACGGCCCAG